UUUUUGUUGUUUUUCACCUUAUAUAUUCACUUUGUAUGUUGUCUACCUCACUUGCUUUGGCAAUGUUAACACAUGUUUCCCAUGACAAUAAAGCCCUUGAAUUGAAUUGAAUUGAAUUGAGAGAGCGCGCGCAUCUCAUAGAUGAGAGAGAGAGAGAGCGCGCGCAUCUCAUUUCCCUCUCCCUUUUUUGUACCGAUAGUAGUAAGCUGUGUAAGUGACGCAUGUAAACGUGUAUAAGUAGUUCUGUGCAUAUAGUAAUAAUUAGUCUAUUUACUUUCGCUUUUAAGCAGGAUUUAUAAAGUAGCCUAAUGUAUAUACCGUAAAAAAUAAAAAAAAGUUACUUCUUUUUUACCGAGGAACCAAACCGUCUCCGAGUCCAAAAAAAAAAUAUGCUUUGAGCUGAAGCGCAACAUCCGCCCGUUGCCAUCAUGAAGACAGGCUGCGGGGUCGACGUCUGACAACACGCUCUCUAUCGUACGCCGGGCCCUGAUUGGAUGGAAUAACCACCUAUGACGUCAGGUGACCUCGAUUGAUCGCAGGAGGCGGAGCCUAGUGUCAACUCCGUGGAGUACACAGAGAGGUGACCACAACCCCCUGAUCCUGACCCUCCUCUACUUCAGGACUACAACAUCUCCCUAAAGAACUACAAUCCCCACAGAGAGUAUCACAGAGAAGGUGACCACAACCCCCUGAUCCUAACCCUCCUCUACUUCAGGACUACAACAUCUCCCUAAAGAACUUACAACCCCCACAGAGAGUAUCACAGAGAAGGUGACCACAACCCCCUGAUCCUAACCCUCCUCUGCUUCAGGACUACAACAUUUCCCUAAAGAACUACAAUCCCCACAGAGAGUAUCACAGAGAAGGUGACCACAACCCCCUGAUCCUAACCCUCCUCUACUUCAGGACUACAACAUCUCCCUAAAGAACUUACAACCCCCACAGAUAGUAUCACAGAGAAGGUGACCACAACCCCCUGAUCCUAAUGCUCCUCUGCUUCAGGACUACAACAUCUCCCUAAAGAACUACAAUCCCCACAGAGAGUAUCACAGAGAAGGUGACCACAACCCCCUGAUCCUAACCCUCCUCUACUUCAGGACUACAACGUCUCCCUAAAGAACUACAACCCCCUGAGCUCCACAGGACUACAACUUAACA